rnacentral:rRNA from 1 species
UACGGAGGGUGCAAACGUUGCUCGGAAUCAUUGGGCGUAAAGCGCACGUAGGCGGCUCGUUAAGUCGGAUGUGAAAGCCCUGGGCUCAACCCAGGAAGUGCAUACGAAACUUUCGAGCUUGAAUAUGGAAGAGGGUCGCGGAAUUCCCGGUGUAGAGGUGAAAUGCGUAGAUAUCUGGAGGAACGCCGGUGGCGAAGGCGGCAUCCUGGACCGGCAUUGACGCUGAGGAGCGAAAGCCAGGGGAGCAAACGGG